rnacentral:rRNA from 2 species
UUAAAACUUUCAACAACGGAUCUCUUGGUUCUGGCAUCGAUGAAGAACGCAGCGAAAUGCGAUAAGUAAUGUGAAUUGCAGAAUUCAGUGAAUCAUCGAAUCUUUGAACGCACAUUGCGCCCCUUGGUAUUCCGGGGGGCAUGCCUGUUCGAGCGUCAUUGCACCACUCAAGCUCAGCUUGGUAUUGGGCCU